GACGAACGCUGGCGGCGUGCUUAACACAUGCAAGUCGAACGGAAAGGCCCUGCUUUUGUGGGGUGCUCGAGUGGCGAACGGGUGAGUAACACGUGAGUAACCUGCCCUUGACUUUGGGAUAACUUGAGGAAACUGGGGCUAAUACCGGAUAGGAGCUCCUGCUGCAUGGUGGGGGUUGGAAAGUUUCGGCGGUUGGGGAUGGACUCGCGGCUUAUCAGCUUGUUGGUGGGGUAGUGGCUUACCAAGGCUUUGACGGGUAGCCGGCCUGAGAGGGUGACCGGCCACAUUGGGACUGAGAUACGGCGCAGAGUCCUACGGGAGGCAGCAGUGGGGAAUAUUGCACAAUGGGCGGAAGCCUGAUGCAGCAACGCCGCGUGCGGGAUGACGGCCUUCGGGUUGUAAACCGCUUUCGCCUGUGACGAAGCGUGAGUGACGGUAAUGGGUAAAGAAGCACCGGCUAACUACGUG
rnacentral:rRNA from 1 species